rnacentral:rRNA from 1 species
AAGGGGUACAGGAACAAGUUUGGGUUAGGGCAUGCAUGCGUCAACGUCGCUGGAUUUUAAGGGGAGGUGUUGCCGCCGCUGCCGCGGCCCGGCCUGGGGAGUUGGUCGCUCAUGCGUGUGGCCUCCACUACAAGGUAGAGAGGCUACCGAACACGGGCGCCACGGCGGCUACCGGAUCAAACUUCGGCUGGUCUAGCCUCGAACACCUGACGAUUCUAGGCGCGGUGUCACACGAGCAGUGCCGGAGGGUAGAGUCCGAGGCCGUCUCCGACCAAGCAGUGGCGGAGAUGUCGUAGUCGGGCGCAGGAGGAGCUGGAGCAGCCGACGUUCAGCAACCUAGGUCAUUACCUGCCCUCGUCAAGCCGUAGCGGAAAUUAUCUCGGGUAUUAAGGUCACUAGUAUCGUACACGUCGUCGUGAUAGUCGGUACCUUAACCAGUUGUCACGAGUUGCUAAUUAAGGCGUUACGAAGAUAUCACUACUACAAUACCAUUCACAUCUUUACUGAUAAACGUCGCACGUAUAAAAAGUGCGAUAUGUUACAGCUCUUAUCUGUAACAACGCACAUAAUAAUAUGAAUUAUGUACCAAGUGAUCAAUAUAAUCCCACCAAGACGAUUACAAUAAGAAGAGCUUGAGCACUAGUCAAAACUGACUAUUUUUACAGGUCACCGAAGCUCCUAAGUAGUAUAAUAAAAUAGUAUACUAUACAAAAAAAAGAAUAAAAAUGUAAGCUGUCUGAAACUAUUACGGUUCCGAAUAUUUCCUACCUAAAGAUUAUCCUAAGACGAAAGAGUACACUCGAGUUCGAAUAUACAUUUUUAUUAACAUAACGGAUUAAGGCGGCCAACAAACAUAGACUGAUAUACUUAUUUUACGUGACCUCACGAAAAGGACAUGUCCUAUUUAUUACAAAUAUAUUAAACAAUGUAAUAACCAUUCAAUCCUACUAGGUGUUUCAUCAACCGAACAGACGGUCAAAAUCGUAUUUGUAUCAAAUCCAUACACGUCGUGUGUCCAAAUUCGUACUUACAUACUGUGUAUGUACCUGAACACGAUUGAGUUAGCGUAAACAAUCAAACUACAGAGGGUCCUGUUCUUCGAGCUCGUUCUUCGUGAUGCCGACCUCCGUUGACAAGACAUGGUAGUUUCAUCGUUGCAACUACGUCAAAAGCGAUCGUUACCAACAACUAGGACAGUACAAUAAAUAUUGAAAUACAUAUAGAAGAACACAACACGGACCCUACGAGAUCAAACUGUACAUGAGUUGUUAACAAGAUCCCUAUCAGGUCAAACUAUACAUCUUAAGGAACACGGACUCUACCAAGUUGAAUGUGCAUGAGUGAGUAAUCACGGACACUACCAGGUCAACCGGUACAUCAACUUCUCCGGUUCUCCCACAAAACUAAAAAAAAGUACAUGAAUUUAUAGAAACUGUCUACAAAUGUAUGAGAACUAACUAGUAGAACAAGUUCAAAGACCGUAUUAAUCAACUACACCAC